GACGAACGCUGGCGGCGUGCCUAAUACAUGCAAGUAGAACGCACAGUUUAUACCGUAGCUUGCUACACCAUAGACUGUGAGUUGCGAACGGGUGAGUAACGCGUAGGUAACCUGCCUGGUAGCGGGGGAUAACUAUUGGAAACGAUAGCUAAUACCGCAUAAUAUUAAUUAUUGCAUGAUAAUUAAUUGAAAGGUGCAAUUGCACCACUACCAGAUGGACCUGCGUUGUAUUAGCUAGUAGGUGAGGUAACGGCUCACCUAGGCGACGAUACAUAGCCGACCUGAGAGGGCGAUCGGCCACACUGGGACUGAGACACGGCCCAGACUCCUACGGGAGGCAGCAGUAGGGAAUCUUCGGCAAUGGACGAAAGUCUGACCGAGCAGCGCCGCGUGAGUGAAGAAGGUUUUCGGAUCGUGAAGCUCUGUUGUAAGGGAAGAACGGGUGUGAGAGUGGAAAGUUCACACUGUGACGGUAUCUUACCAGAAAGGGACGGCUAACUACGUG
rnacentral:rRNA from 1 species